rnacentral:rRNA from 1 species
AGCGAACGCUAGCGGCGGGCCUAACACAUGCAAGUCGAGCGGAGGGCUUCGGCUCUCAGCGGCGAACGGGUGAGUAACACGUAGGUAACGUACCUUCUGGUGGGGAAUAACUGGGGGAAACCCUAGCUAAUACCGCAUAUGCUCGCAAGAGUAAAAGCCCUCGGGCGCCAGUAGAUCGGCCUGCGGCCCAUUAUUUAGUCCUAGUUGGUAGGGUAACGGCCUACCAAGGGUACGAUGGGUAGCUGAUCUGAGAGGAUGAUCAGCCACAUUGGGACUGAGACACGGCCCAAACUCCUACGGGAGGCAGCAGUGGGGAAUAUUGGACAAUGGGCGAAAGCCUGAUCCAGCCACGCCGCGUGAGUGAUGAAGGCC